rnacentral:lncRNA from 1 species
GAGGUUUAAAUUUACAUCUUCACGCAAUUCUCACACUGUUUUAUUUGAUCUUUAUGAUAAAUCAUUGUGACAACCUCGAUUUGACCGUACACUAGUCAUACACGCAAAUGUGUACGAUCAAGAUCAAGGACUCACGGAAAGAUAUCACAACACAACUCUAGACACAAAAUAAAAUAAUACAAGCUUUAUAUUACAAGCCAGGGGCCUCGAGGGCUCGAAUACAUAAGCUCGAAUGCACAAGAGUCAGCGGAAGCAAUAAUAUCUGAGUACAGACAUACGUGAAGCAAGUUUGCCUUAAGAAGGCUAACACAAAAGUAGCAACGAUCGAAAAGGCGAGGCCUCCUCCCUGGGACCUCCUAACUACUCCUCGAAGCCGAACUCCAUGAAGAAACAUCCUCGGGAUCCUCUGACUCCUGAACUCCAUCAUAUGAUUGAAAUAACCGAGAAAAGGGGAAAAGAAGAAGAAGCAAAGCAACCGUGAGUACUUAUCCAAAGUACUCGCAAGAAAGGAUCUAGACUACAUAUGCAUUCGUAUCAAUGAAAUGGAUAGUAUCUGUGGACUGAACUGCAGAAUGCCAGAAUAAGAGGGGGAUAGCUAGUCCUAUCGAAGACUACGCUUCUGGCAGCCUUCAUCUUGAAGCAGUAGAAGAGAGUAGAUGGUAAGUUAACCAAAUAUCACCGUAUAUCAUAAUCCUACCCGGCGAUCCUCCCCUCGUCGCCCUGUGAGAGAGCGGUCACCGGGUGUAUCUGGCACUUUAAAGGGUGUGUUUUAUUAAGUAUCCGGUUCUAGUUGUCAUAAGGUCAAGGUACAACUCCGGGUCGCCCUUUUAUCGAGGGACACGGCUAUUCCAAUAGAUAAACUUCCCUACAGGGGUGCACCACAUUUCCCAACACGCUCGAUCCCCUUUGGCCGAACACACUUUUCUUGGUCAUGUCCGACCUCGGAAGAUCAACACGUCGCAGCCCUAUCUAGGCACAACAAAGAGGUCAACACGCCGGUCUAAAUCCUAUGGCGCAGGGGUCUGGGCCCAUCGCCCAUUACACACCUGCACGUUACGAACGCGGCCGGUAAGAAGACCUACCCUCCCUAAUACAAGAGCAGGCGUUUCAGUCCAAUCCGGCGCGCGCCGCUCAGUCGCUGAUGUCAAGAAGGCUUCGACUGAUACAACGACGUCGAGUGCCCAUAACUGUUCCUGCGUAGUUGGUUAGUGCGUAUAGGCCAAUGGCCAAACUCAGAUCAAAUACCAAGAUCUCGUUAAGCGUGUUAUUUUGAAGUAACCGCGAACGCCGACCAGGGUCAGGCCCACCUUUCUCCUAGGUGGUCUCGACCCGCCCUGUCGCCUCGCCACAAAGUAACAGUCGGGGGCCGUCGCGAACUCAGGCCCACCACUACCUGGAUGGAGCCACUUGUCCUUUCAGCCCCCACAUCGGAAUCACUUGCGGGUACUCUACGAGCCGACUCGACUUCACCACAUGUAUCACCUAUUAUGCAUAUAAGUAUAUACCAAUGAUCACCUCCCGAGUGAUCACGGACCGAUUGUAUAGCAUGGCAGACGAACAAGAAUGUAGGGCCACUGAUGAUAAACUAGCAUCCUAUACUAAGAAUUUAGGAUUGCAGGUAAGGUAUCAACAACUGUAGCAACAAUGACAGGCUAUGCAACAGAAUAUGAUUAACUGGAAACAAUAACAUGCUACACUACUCUAAUGCAAGUAGUAGAGAGAAGAAUAGGCGAUAUCGGGUUGAUCAGGGGGGGGGGCUUGCUUGGUUGCUCUGGCAAGGAGGGGUCAUCGGUGUCGUAGUCGUACUGGAUAGCAACGGCGUCGGUCUCGGUGUCUAAGGAGAUAAGAGGGGAAAGAAACAAUAAAUAUAAUACAAAUAAAUGCAUGACGAUGCAUGACAUGACAACGAGCGAUGCUAGGUGUGCCCUAACGCAGUGCUAGGUGAUACCGGCAAAGGGGAGGGGGAAACAUCCGGGAAUGUUUUCCCGGUGUUUCGCGUUUUCGGACAGAUGAACUGAAGGGAAAAAGUUGCAUGCCUGCUAUGCUAGGGGCGCGUGGCGGACAAACGAGCUGCGUAUUCGGAUUCGUCUCGUCGUUCUGAGCAACUUUCAUAUAUAAAACUUUUUCAUCGGAGUUAUGGUUUAUUUUAUAUGAUUUAGUGAAGUUUUAAAUGAUUUUCUAAUUUUUUGAAAUUAAUAUUAUUUUGAAAUAAAAGAAUAAAAUGCUAUGGAUACAUAGAGAGUGUACCCAGAGAGGUGCAUAUGUGGCUGACGGCAGGCCCAGUUGACUCAGUCAACAAUCCAGUCAAUAGCCAACUGUUUGAUUGUUGACUGGUCAAACUAUAGAUAGGUCCCACGUGUCAUUGGCACAAACACUUAAUUAGCAUUUUAUUUAUUUAAUCUCCUGGAUUAAUCUAACGGUUGGUCCUGCAUGUCAUAAGUUACUAGACUAAUUUAGCACUAAUUAAAGCUAAACCUGGUACUAUUCUAAACAAGGGCCGGCUAUUAGUGGGCAGAGCCCAGCCGGCCACACGCAUGGCACACUCACACAGCGGGCACACACACAUCACGCACGCACACACCAUAGCCAUGGCAGCAGCCGGGAGGGGCAGCGCAGCAGCAUGCAAAGCAGCAGCAGAAGUGCAGCGGGCAUCAACAGUACCACAGCAGCGGCAGGAGCAAGCAACGAGCAGCAGUAGACAGCGAGCAGCACAGAGGGGCAGCAAUAGCCGGCGAGGCAAGCAGCACGGCAGUAGCGCAGUAGCGGGGGCACGGCCCGGGCGUGCGUGACGACGCAGCACGCGCCGGUGGGCGCGGCCGGGGCGGCGGGGAGCUCGCGACGAGCGCGGCCGACCGAGGCAGGGAAGCGGCAGCGGCGAGCGACAGUAGGCACGGCGCGAGCGCGGGCGUGUGUGGGCGGACGAGCGCGUGCGUGGUCGCGUGCGACGGGCGACGGCAGGAGGAGCAACGCGAGCAGGGCCAGGAGUGGAUGUGCGCGGACGCGGAACUCCGGCCAUGGCGGCCUCGGGCGGGCAUGGGUCUACGACGACGGAUUGACAGUGGGACGAGGGGGAUAGGGAGGAGCAGCUUACUGUGAUGCCGAUGGUGAGGUCGGGGAGAGUCGGGGUUGACCGGAACGGCGGUAAUCGAUGACGGAUGACGACGACGUACAAACGAAGACUGCCUCGAUGGCGAGCGCACGGGCCACCUCGGCUCUGUUCCGUGCUCGGGACAGAUGAAGACGUCCGUGGCGGGCCUCCUGGACGUCCUCCCACACGAAGGCGACGACGGUGGUCGCGGUAAUGACGAUGACGAGCACGGUCACCGUGAGAGUUUCCAAGCUCGAAUUCGAGCGAAAGAAGGGGGCGACGGGGAAAGAGGGGGG